rnacentral:rRNA from 1 species
CCUACGGGUGGCAGCAGUGGGGAAUAUUGCACAAUGGGGGGAACUCUGAUGCAGCGACGCCGCGUGAGUGAAGAAGUAUUUCGGUAUGUAAAGCUCUAUCAGCAGGGAAGAAAAUGACGGUACCAGACUAAGAAGCCCCGGCUAACUACGUGCCAGCAGCCGCGGUAAUACGUAGGGGGCAAGCGUUAUCCGGAUUUACUGGGUGUAAAGGGAGCGCUGACGGUUUAGCAAGACUGUGGUGAAAGGCGGGGGCCCAACCCCCGGACUGCUAUUGAAACUGUAAGGCUAGAGUGCAGGAGAGGUAAGCGGAAUUCCUAGUGUAGCGGUGAAAUUCGUAGAUAUUAGGAGGAACACCAGUGGCGAAGGCGACUAUCUGGACUGCAACUGACGUUGAGGCUCGAAAGCGUGGGGAUCAAACAGGAUUAGAUACCCCGGUAGUC